rnacentral:rRNA from 1 species
UACGUAGGGGGCUAGCGUUGUCCGGAUUUAUUGGGCGUAAAGAGCGUGUAGGCGGCCUUACAGGUCAGCUGUGAAAACUCGAGGCUCAACCUCGAGACGUCGGUGGAAACCGUUUGGCUAGAGUCCGGAAGAGGAGAGUGGAAUUCCCGGUGUAGCGGUGAAAUGCGCAGAUAUCGGGAAGAACACCCGUGGCGAAGGCGGCUCUCUGGGACGGUACUGACGCUGAGACGCGAAAGCGUGGGGAGCGAACAGG